rnacentral:rRNA from 1 species
GUGGGGAAUUUUGGACAAUGGGCGCAAGCCUGAUCCAGCAAUGCCGCGUGCAGGAAGAAGGCCUUCGGGUUGUAAACUGCUUUUGUACGGAACGAAACGGUCCGGGUUAAUACCCUGGGCUAAUGACGGUACCGUAAGAAUAAGCACCGGCUAACUACGUGCCAGCAGCCGCGGUAAUACGUAGGGUGCAAGCGUUAAUCGGAAUUACUGGGCGUAAAGCGUGCGCAGGCGGUUUUGUAAGACAGGCGUGAAAUCCCCGGGCUCAACCUGGGGAGUGCAUUGGUGACUGCAAGGCUGGAGUGCGGCAGAGGGGGAUGGAAUUCCGCGUGUAGCAGUGAAAUGCGUAGAUAUGCGGAGGAACACCGAUGGCGAAGGCAAUCCCCUGGGCCUGCACUGACGCUCAUGCACGAAAGCGUGGGGAGCAAACAGGAUUAGAAACCCGGGUAGUCC